AAUGAACGCUGGCGGCGUGCCUAAUACAUGCAAGUCGAACGGACAGACGAGGAGCUUGCUCCUCUGACGUUAGCGACGGACGGGUGAGUAACACGUAGAUAACCUACCUCUAAGACUGGGGUAACUACGGGAAACCGGAUAUAAUACUGGCUAAUAUAUUGAACGGCAUGGAUCAAUAGUGAUUGACAGCUUUGCUGUCACUUAUAGAUGGAUCCGCGCCGGAUUAGCUAGUUGGUAAGGUAACGGCUUACCAAGGCUACGAUGCGUAGCCGACCUGAGAGGAUGAUCGGCCACACUGGAACUGAGACACGGUCCAGACUCCUACGGGAGGCAGCAGUAGGGAAUCUUGGGCAAUGGGCGAAAGCCUGACGCAGCAACGCCGCGUGAGUGAAGAAGGUCUUCGGAUUGUAAAACUCUUUUAUUAGGGAAGAACAAAUGUGUAAGAAACUAUGCACGUCUUGACGGUACCUAAUCAGAAAGCAACGGCUAACUACGUG
rnacentral:rRNA from 1 species